AGGAUUAACGCUGGCGGCGUGCCUAAUACAUGCAAGUCGAAUGGUAGUAAGCAAUACAAACCAUGGCGAACGGGUGAGUAACACGUAGGCAACCUGACUUUAAGACGAGGAUAACCGUGGAAACGACGGAUAAUACUGGAUAGGACAUCACAAAGGGCAUCCUUAGAUGUUUAAAGGUUAUUAUGCCACUUAGAGAGGGGCCUGCGGCGCAUUAGCUAGUUGGUGAGAUAACAGCCCACCAAGGCGAUGAUGCGUAGCCGGACUGAGAGGUUGAACGGCCACAAUGGAACUGAGAACGGUCCAUACUCCUACGGGAGGCAGCAGUGGGGAAUUUUCGGCAAUGGGCGCAAGCCUGAACCCGAGCAACGCCGCGUGAACGAAGAAGUUAUUCGUAAUGUAAAGUUCUUUUAUCUGGGAAGAAAAAACAAAUUGACGGUACCAGAUGAAUAAGCUCCGGCUAACUACGUGCCAGCCGCAGC
rnacentral:rRNA from 1 species